ACGACCGCAUCACGUUGAAACAUUGGUUCCCGUACGAUCACCGAUGUUAAGCAACGUCGUGCCAAAUCAGUACCUAAAUGGGCGACCACUUGCGAAUAUAGGUGCUGUAAG